rnacentral:rRNA from 1 species
GACGAACGCUGGCGGCGUGCCUAAUACAUGCAAGUAGAACGCUGAAGGAGGAGCUUGCUCUUCUGGAUGAGUUGCGAACGGGUGAGUAACGCGUAGGUAACCUGCCUGGUAGCGGGGGAUAACUAUUGGAAACGAUAGCUAAUACCGCAUAAAAUUGAUUAUUGCAUGAUAGUCAAUUAAAAGGUGCAAUUGCAUCACUACCAGAUGGACCUGCGUUGUAUUAGCUAGUUGGCGAGGUAACGGCUCACCAAGGCAACGAUACAUAGCCGACCUGAGAGGGUGAUCGGCCACACUGGGACUGAGACACGGCCCAGACUCCUACGGGAGGCAGCAGUAGGGAAUCUUCGGCAAUGGACGGAAGUCUGACCGAGCAACGCCGCGUGAGUGAAGAAGGUUUUCGGAUCGUAAAGCUCUGUUGUAAGAGAAGAACGAGUGUGAGAGUGGAAAGUUCACACUGUGACGGUAUCUUACCAGAAAGGGACGGCUAACUACGUG